CUCUGCGUAGCUCAGUUGGUAGAGCGCUUGGUUUGGGACCAAGAGGCCGCAGGUUCGAGACCUGCUGCGGAGAC
rnacentral:tRNA from 1 species